ensembl:rRNA 5S_rRNA 5S ribosomal RNA
GUCUACAGCCAUGCCACCCUGAACAAGCCCAAUCCCGUCUUAUCUCGAAAGCUAAACAGGGUCAGUCCUGGUUAGUACUUGGAUGGGAGACCACCUUUGAAUACCAGGUGCUGUAGAUG